CAAUUAGCAUCAUCAGAGGCGAAGUCUGAUGCAGCAUGCCGCGUGAGUGAUGAAGGCCUUUGGGUUGUAAAGCUCUUUCACUUUGGAAGAAAAUAUCUGUACCUAUCUAAAAUGGACCGGACCUUUUCAUGCCAGCCCCCCCGGUACUAUAAUAUGG
rnacentral:rRNA from 1 species